UGAUGUUGUCUUCACAGAUUGUUAACUACUUUUGAAAUUGCUUAUUCCAUUGGCAAGCAUUUGUUAUUUUCUGAAACUUAAUUUUCUUUGCUUUUUAGUGGACAGAGGACUGCAGAAAAUCAACCUAUCCUCCUUCAGGACCGACGUACAGAGGUCCAGUUCCAUGGUACACCAUAAAUCUUGACUUACCACCCUACAAAAGAUGGCAUGAAUUGAUGCUUGACAAGGCACCGAUGCUAAAGGUUAUAGUGAAUUCUCUGAAGAAUAUGAUAAAUACAUUCGUGCCAAGUGGAAAAAUUGUGCAGGUGGUGGAUGAAAAAUUGCCUGGCCUACUUGGCAACUUUCCUGGCCCUUUUGAAGAGGAAAUGAAGGGUAUUGCCGCUGUUACUGAUAUACCUUUAGGAGAGAUUAUUUCAUUCAAUAUUUUUUAUGAAUUAUUUACCAUUUGUACUUCAAUAGUAGCAGAAGACAAAAAAGGUCAUCUAAUACAUGGGAGAAACAUGGAUUUUGGAGUGUUUCUUGGGUGGAACAUAAAUAAUGAUACCUGGGUCAUAACUGAGCAACUAAAACCUUUAACAGUGAAUUUGGACUUCCAAAGAAACAACAAAACUGUCUUCAAGGCUUCAAGCUUUGCUGGCUAUGUGGGCAUGUUAACAGGAUUCAAACCAGGACUGUUCAGUCUUUCACUGAAUGAACGUUUCAGUAUAAAUGGUGGUUAUCUGGGUAUUCUAGAAUGGAUUCUGGGAAAGAAAGAUGCCAUGUGGAUAGGGUUCC
rnacentral:sRNA from 1 species